AAUACUUUGGGGUCAAGUUUGAGGCAGUUGUAACUGUACUGAGUUUAGUUUUGCUAAUAAUGGUAUUCUACGUGUGUCAGCCUCGUGUGGACUUCUGUAAUGACUAAUGGAUAUGUUUAUAUCCUGAGCAUUUGCUGUAGGAAUUUUAAAUGCAAUCCCAAAACUCAAGAUUACCUUAUUUGGAGAAAUAUUCGUGUUACUAUGUUUAAAAUUUAAUAGAACCAUAUUUUACCUUUCACUUUGGGACUCGCACAGGAUGUUUGCAGCUCUUGAUAUACAGGAACUAGAACGUGUCUUUUAAGAGCAUGCGGUUUUAUAAUUACGUGGAAGUAUGCUACGCAAGGGAAAAAAGCCUCUUGCUAGUGUUAAGGGUCUUCAUAAACAGAAACCGCAAGGAACCUGGGAUCUGACAGCUGUUGGAGGAAUGCCUGUGAGGAAGGAGGAGGAACAGAAGAAUGCUUUGAUGUCUUAAAUGGUACAUCCAAACUUAAGUGAAAUAGAGCUGUGAGGACAUUUUGGGGAGAAGUGACCUAGAUAAGCACUGACUGUUGCAUUCAUCUCUCUUCUUGCUGAUUGUGAUGAUUUCCUGUGCCAUAGCCAUUCAAAGUCUGCCAAAAAAGGAACACCAAAUUAAACAACUGUCUACACAAGAAAAAGUCUUCACAGGAACCAAAAAUCAGAUGAGUGAUCAUUGUACAUAGUUUUGACAUCAUAUCAAGGAAAGAGGCACUGAAGAGGGUAGGAAAGACAAUCUCGAACAGCCAACACCACCCCAACUCCAUCCAUCAGCAGCAGCUAUAUGGAAUGGAGAGAGAAUAUGUGUGCUUGCAGGAGAGACAGCUCAGUGAUUGUGGGACUUUGCAUUGGAAUUCAGUUCUGCCUGCCACAGUGGAAAGCAACAUGUGCAGAACUCAACCAGCAACCACAGAGGGAACAUUUAGACCAGCCAUAGCCAAAGGAAAAUAAUCCAUGCCAGCGUUUGGAACCUAGGUUCCUGCUAUUACCACCACUGCAGGCUAACGCUCUCUGGGGUCCUAAAUAAACUUGAAAAGCAGUCUAGGCCCCAAGGACUGCAAUUCCUGUGCAAGUUUUGGUGCUGUGCUGGGCUCAGAGCCAGUGAACUUGGGGUGCACACAACCUAGUAAGACACCAGCUAGGGUGGCUAAGGGAGUGCUUGUGUCACCCUCCCACAGCCCCAGGAAGCGCAGCUCACAGCUCCUUCUUCCCACUUGAAGAGAGAAGAGGGAAGAGAGUAAAGAGGACAUUGUCUUGCAACUUGGAUACCAGCUCAACUACAGUAUAAUAGGCCACCAGACAAAUUCCUGAGGCCCCUAUUUUAGGCCCUAACUUCCAAAUGACAUUUCUAGACACACCCUGGGCCAGAAAGGAACCCUCUGCAUUGAAGGGAAAGACCCUGUACUUGCAGGAUACAUCACCUGCUGACUAAACAGCAUUUGAGCCUUGAAAAAACAUGAGUGGUAACAAGGAAGUACUCACCACAGGCCUUGGGUGACACCCAAUGCUGUGUUGGUUUCAGGUGUGACCUAGUAUAUUCCCAGCUGUGGUGGCCACGCAGAGAGACUCCUGCUUGAGGAAAGGAGAGGGAAGAGUAAAGACGAGUUUGUCUUGCAUCUUGGGUAUCAGGUCAGUAAAAAACAAACAAACAAAAAAAACAACGGGCUUCUUUUGUUCCAGGCCUUGCCUCCUGGAUGGCAUUUUUGAACCCACCCUGGGCCAGAGGGGAGCCCACUUCUUUGAAGACAGAAACACAGGACUGGCAACAUUUACCAUAAGCUGACUGAGCAGCCAUUGGGCCUUGAGUGAACAUUGGUGGUAGCCAGGCAGUACUUGUCUCAGUACUUGCCUCAGGCCUGGGGUGUCGGUGACCACAGGGAGAGCAUCCAUCUGCUUGAGGAAAGGAGAACAAAGAAAAUAAAGGGCUUAAUCUUGCACUUGAUUGCCAGCUCAGCCAUAGUAGAAUACAGCACCAAGUAAAUUCCUAAGGAUCCUGAUUCCAGGUCCUGGCUCCCAGAUGACAUUUUAGGACUUGUCUUGGGCUUAGGGGGAGCUCGUCAUACUGAAGGGAAAAACACAAGCCUGGCUGGAUUUGCCACCAGCUGAAUAAAGAGUGCUUGGGCCUUGAGUGAACAUUGGCAAUAGCCAAGGAGUGGUCACCAUGGACCUUAGGCAAGAAACCCGGUGCCGUGCUGGCUUUGGAUCUGACCCAGCAUAAUCUCACUGGUAUUUUACUUCUUGUCCAUUUACUUUUUAGUUUAUCAUACACACCAUGUUUACUAGUACUAAAACUGUCUUAAAAUAUUGCAAUUUUGACCCUUUUUCUAAUUGACCUUUAUGUUUUUACAAGCACAUUUUAUUACAUAUGAAUGAGACUUUACUAUGUUAUAUGUAACUCUUAAUUCUGUAAAUAAUAGAUUGCUUAUCUGAAAUAUAGCUGAUAUUUGUUUCUUAAUUAUUUGGCUAUUCCCUAUAUGUUAUACUCUACUAAAGAUCAUGGGAUUUAGAUUCAGAAAACUUACUUCCUAGCUCUUAUUAUUUCUGUGAUCUUGCAAAAGAAAACAAAAAUGAACCAUUGUUUUUUUAUCUGUAACAGGAAAUGUACUUCACAGGAUUGUAA
rnacentral:lncRNA from 1 species